GAUCUACAGCUAAGGUCCCAAAGUCAGGUUAAGUGGAAAACGAUGUGAAGAUACGCAGACAACCAGGAUGUUGGCUCAGAAGCAGCCACUCAUUCAAAGAGUGCGUAAUAGCUCACUGGUCGAGUGAAGUUGCGCGGAAAAUUACCGGGGCUAAGCUAUACACCGAAAUUGCGGAUUUACAUUUGAAAGACAAUGUAAGUGGUAGAGGAGCAUUCUGUAGUAGGAAGAAGCAUGACCGUAAGGACAUGUGGACGAAGCAGAAGAGAGAAUGCUGGAAUAAGUAGCGAGAGGAUGGUGAGAAUCCAUCCCGUCGAAAAUCUAAGGUUUCCCAGGGAAGGUUCGUCCGCCUGGGGUAAGUCGGGACCUAAGGAGAGGCCGAAAGGCGUAUCUGAUGGAUAGCAGGUUGAAAUUCCUGCACUACGAAUAUACUUAAAAGAUUCAAGGGACGCAGAAGUGGAAGAUAACCAAGUAAGAGGAAAAGCUUGGCUCGCAAGAGGGAGUGAAAAUUAAAAGUAACGAAGUAUCAAGAAGCACGCUGACGAGAAAAGCUUGAAGAUAUUGUAUAUAAGUACCCGUACCGCAAACCGACACAGGUAGAUGAGGAGAGGAUCCUAAGACGAGCGGGAGAAGCAUUGUUAAGGAACUCGGCAAACUAACCCCGUAACUUCGGAAUAAGGGGUGCUGAUGUAACAGUCAGUCGCAGAGAAAAGGCCCAAGCAACUGUUUAACAAAAACAUAGGUUUCUGCUAAAUCGAAAGAUGAAGUAUAGGAGCUGACGCCUGCCCAGUGCUGGAAGGUUAAGGGAAAGAGUUAGGGUUAAACCGAAGCUUAGAACUGAAGCCCCAGUGAACGGCGGCCGUAACUAUAACGGUCCUAAGGUAGCGAAAUUCCUUGUCAGGUAAGUUCUGACCCGCACGAAAGGCGUAAUGAUUUGGGCGCUGUCUCGACAAUGUCCCCGGCGAAAUUGUAGUACUAGUGAAGAUGCUAGUUACCUGCGAUAAGACAGAAAGACCCCAUGGAGCUUUACUGCAGUUUGAUACUGGGUUUCGAUGAUUUAUGUACAGGAUAGUUGGGAGACUAUGAAAGAGAGGCGUCAGCUUCUCCGGAGUCGUUGUUGGGAUACCAACCUUAAGUUAUUGAAAUUCUAACUUGUAAUCGUAAACCGGUUAGAGGACAAUGUCAGACGGGCAGUUUGACUGGGGCGGUCGCCUCCUAAAGAGUAACGGAGGCGCCCAAAGGUUUCCUCAGCGCGGACAGAAAUCGCGCGAAAGAGUGCAAAGGCAGAAGGAAGCUUAACUGAGAGACAGACAUGUCGACCAGAUACGAAAGUAGGGCUUAGUGAUCCGGUGGUUGUAAAUGGAAAUGCCAUCGCUCAACGGACAAAAGUUACCCUGGGGAUAACAGGCUUAUCUCCCCCAAGAGUUCACAUCGACGGGGAGGUUUGGCACCUCGAUGUCGGCUCAUCGCAUCCUGGAGCUGAAGUCGGUUCCAAGGGUUGGGCUGUUCGCCCAUUAAAGCGGUACGCGAGCUGGGUUCAGAACGUCGUGAGACAGUUCGGUCCUUAUCUAUCGCAGGCGUAAGAUAUUUGAAGAGUGCUGUCCUUAGUACGAGAGGACCAGGAUGGACAUACCAAUGGUGUAUCAGUUGUCUCACCAGAGGCACGGCUGAGUAGCUAAGUAUGGAUUGGAUAAACGCUGAAAGCAUCUAAGUGUGAAGCCAACUCUAAGAUAAGAUAUCUCAUAUCGUAAGGUAGUAAGAUUCCAUAAAGACUAUGUGGUUGAUAGGUUGGAGGUGUAAGUGUAGCGAUACAUUGAGCUGACCAAUACUAAUAAAUCGAGGGCUUAACCAC
rnacentral:rRNA from 1 species